GACGAACGCUGGCGGCGUGCUUAACACAUGCAAGUCGAACGGAAAGGCCCUGCUUUUGUGGGGUGCUCGAGUGGCGAACGGGUGAGUAACACGUGAGUAACCUGCCCUUGACUUUGGGAUAACUUCAGGAAACUGGGGCUAAUACCGGAUAGGAGCUCCUGCUGCAUGGUGGGGGUUGGAAAGUUUCGGCGGUUGGGGAUGGACUCGCGGCUUAUCAGCUUGUUGGUGGGGUAGUGGCUUACCAAGGCUUUGACGGGUAGCCGGCCUGAGAGGGUGACCGGCCACAUUGGGACUGAGAUACGGCCCAGACGCCUACGGGAGGCAGCAGUGGGGAAUAUUGCAGAAUGGGGGGAAGCCUGAUGCAGCAACGCCGCGUGCGGGAUGACGGCCUUCGGGUUGUAAACCGCUUUCGCCGGUGACGAAGCGUGAGUGACGGUAAUGGGUAAAGAAGCACCGGCUAACUACGUG
rnacentral:rRNA from 1 species